rnacentral:rRNA from 1 species
GGACGAACGCUGGCGGCGUGCUUAACACAUGCAAGUCGAGCGGAAAGGCCCUUCGGGGGUACUCGAGCGGCGAACGGGUGAGUAACACGUGAGCAACCUGCCCCCGACUCUGGGAUA